rnacentral:rRNA from 1 species
ACGCUUGGCGGCGUGCCUAAUACAUGCAAGUCGAGCGAACCAAUGGGAGCUUGCUCCCUGAGGUUAGCGGCGGACGGGUGAGUAACACGUGGGCAACCUGCCUGUAAGACUGGGAUAACUCCGGGAAACCGGGGCUAAUACCGGAUAAUUCAUUUCCUCUCAUGAGGAAAUGCUGAAAGACGGUUUCGGCUGUCACUUACAGAUGGGCCCGCGGCGCAUU